rnacentral:lncRNA from 1 species
ACCCAAGGCAUAGAGGCCUCCACCCUCCUGGUAGGCUGAGCCUGGAGAGGUGUCCUUGGGUAGGUAUGUUGCCAUUAGCUGGAGUGCUUCUUUCUCAUGUCCCUUGUGUAUAACACCCAAGCUGGCAGUAGCAGUAAACUUAGCCCAAUUAGUCGCCCUGGCCAGCCACUCCAAAUUGUCUCUCAGGAAUUGGUCACUGGUUGUACCACAGUGCAUAAAGGAGUUUGCUAUAACCGUUGCUGUGUGACACACAGAAUUCCGCACUGCAUCCUUUGUGUUUUUGAGGAUCAUGAGGUCUGUGUUGUUGUUUCGUAUUAAAAAUUGCAGAUGUAACUCAAUAGCCAUUUCCCCACUUAAAAUUUUAAUCAUUUUUGAGAUCUGGUCCUUGGGCUCAGGGUUAAUUUCUGCAGACUUCCCCACGCAGGUGCUUCCUGGCUUCUCUUCUGCUUCCAUUGCAUCACUGUCUUUCUCUGACCCAGGGACAGUGCCGGUGUUGGUGGAUCCAGGCACAGAGGCAAUAGGAGUUCCAACAGUGCGAAGAUUUUGGAUCACAGAAGACAAGAACUGCUGGCUAGCACUUUCAUACAGGUCAAAGCAAAUUUGAUAAGCCAUGAGAAGGUUAUCUUCCUUCACUAGUUUUUCCAAGAUGUCGCUUACAGCCUGUGGGUCAUCCAAGAAUAUCAGGCACUGGCACACGUUGAUGAAGUCUGGCUUCUCCAGAUUCAUGUAGAUUUUAACUAGGACUCUCAAGACUUUAUUACGAAACUGUUUGUUCUGCAUCAGAGACAUACAGAGCUUCAAGCUGUAGGCCAGCAUCCCAGGAACAUCGUUCGAUUCGAGGAUGGUCUUCUCAAAGAUGUCCAGCCUGCGUGUCUCUAGAGCAAUGCCAAUUGCCUGCUUGUACUUGUGGUCAUCCAAGCACCGCUGGAACAUUUUGUUCACUAUGCCUUCUAGCCUUUCAUCAACAGGUUUCUUCUCCCCUUCUGGCAGUUCUGCAUUUUCCACACACUGCUUGGUAUAGUGGUCGAUACAUUUUGCAAUGAUCGUUUCCACGUAUUCCGAGUUGUCAUUGACGUUGAAGAGGUCACCUGCUCCCAGGGCAUAGUUCAGCGACUCCUCAAAAGCUCCCAGGUGGUAAAACACUUUGGAAGCAACCAAAGCAGCAAACUGCCGGCUCCGGAAGCCCUCAUCUUCAUAGAGAACUUCGAUUUUGUCCACUGACUCGGAGAUUUCUGCCCAGAAAUCGUUGACAACAGCAUUCAGCUUGUGAAGAGCAAACUCCUUGAGCUGUGGCUCUUCCUCAUCCAGAAGAGAGAUAAUUCCAGCGGCCGAGGUGAUCAUGGUGCCGCCCGCCCGGCCCGCGGAGGGAGCUGGCGCCCGCUCCGCUGCGCUCCGCUCCGGCUCAGCCGCACCACUGCCGCCACCGAAAUCCGCUCCGCGCCUCUGCCGCUCUGCCGCCGCC